CUGGCUCAGGAUGAACGCUAGCUACAGGCUUAACACACGCAAGUCGAGGGGCAGCAUAACGAAAGCUUGCUUUGUUGAUGGCGACCGGCGCACGGGUGAGUAACGCGUAUCCAACCUUCCCCAUAGUAGAGGAUAGCCCGGCGAAAGUCGGAUUAAUACUCUAUGUUGUAUUUUUGAGGACAUCUGACGAAUACCAAAGAUUGAUCGCUAUGGGAUGGGGAUGCGUCUGAUUAGCUUGUUGGCGGGGUAACGGCCCACCAAGGCGACGAUCAGUAGGGGUUCUGAGAGGAAGGUCCCCCACAUUGGUACUGAGACACGGACCAAACUCCUACGGGAGGCAGCAGUGAGGAAUAUUGGUCAAUGGGCGAGAGCCUGAACCAGCCAAGUAGCGUGCAGGAAUGACUGCCCUAUGGGUUGUAAACUGCUUUUAUGCGGGAAUAAAGUCAGGUACGCGUACCUGUUUGUAUGUACCGCAUGAAUAAGGACCGGCUAAUUCCGUGCCAGCCGCAGC
rnacentral:rRNA from 1 species